rnacentral:rRNA from 1 species
UUACUAAGUGGUAGGAGAGCGUUCUAUUUGCGUCGAAGGUAUACCGGUAAGGAGUGCUGGAGCGAAUAGAAGUGAGCAUGCAGGCAUGAGUAGCGAUAAUUAAUGUGAGAAUCAUUAACGCCGUAAACCCAAGGUUUCCUACGCGAUGCUCGUCAUCGUAGGGUUAGUCGGGUCCUAAGUCGAGUCCGAAAGGGGUAGACGAUGGCAAAUUGGUUAAUAUUCCAAUACCAACAUUAGUGUGCGAUGGAAGGACGCUUAGGGCUAAGCAAGCUAGCGGAUGGAAGUGCUAGUCUAAGGAUGUAGGAGCUUAUACAGGCAAAUCCGUAUAAGAAUACUCCGAGAUCUUAAAGGCUCUUCAAAGUCUUCGGAUAGCGAGGAGAAUUGCUGAUGCCGUCGAGCCAAGAAAAGUUUCUAAGUUUAGCUAAUGUUGCCCGUACCGUAAACCGACACAGGUGGGUGGGAUGAGUAUUCUAAGGCGCGUGGAAGAACUCUCUUUAAGGAACUCUGCAAAAUAGCACCGUAUCUUCGGUAUAAGGUGUGGUUCGCUUUGUAUUAGAAUUUACUUCGAAAGCAAAGAAACUUACAACAAAGAGUCCCUCCCGACUGUUUACCAAAAACACAGCACUCUGCUAACUCGUAAGAGGAUGUAUAGGGUGUGACGCCUGCCCGGUGCUCGAAGGUUAAUUGAUGGGGUUAGCAUUAGCGAAGCUCUUGAUCGAAGCCCGAGUAAACGGCGGCCGUAACUAUAACGGUCCUAAGGUAGCGAAAUUCCUUGUCGGUUAAAUACCGACCUGCAUGAAUGGCGUAACGAGAUGGGAGCUGUCUCAAAGAGGGAUCCAGUGAAAUUGUAGUGGAGGUGAAAAUUCCUCCUACCCGCGGCAAGACGGAAAGACCCCGUGGACCUUUACUACAGCUUGACACUGCUAUUUGGAUAAGAAUGUGCAGGAUAGGUGGGAGGCUUUGAGUAAUAGACGCCAGUUUAUUAUGAGCCGUUGUUGAGAUACCACUCUUUCUUAUUUGGGUAGCUAACCAGCUUGAGUUAUCCUCAAGUGGGACAAUGUCUGGUGGGUAGUUUGACUGGGGCGGUCGCCUCCCAAAUAAUAACGGAGGCUUACAAAGGUUGGCUCAGAACGGUUGGAAAUCGUUCGUAGAGUAUAAAGGUAUAAGCCAGCUUAACUGCAAGACAUACAAGUCAAGCAGAGACGAAAGUCGGUCUUAGUGAUCCGGUGGUUCUGUGUGGAAGGGCCAUCGCUCAAAGGAUAAAAGGUACCCCGGGGAUAACAGGCUGAUCUCCCCCAAGAGCUCACAUCGACGGGGAGGUUUGGCACCUCGAUGUCGGCUCAUCGCAUCCUGGGGCUGGAGCAGGUCCCAAGGGUAUGGCUGUUCGCCAUUUAAAGCGGUACGCGAGCUGGGUUCAGAACGUCGUGAGACAGUUCGGUCCCUAUCUGCCGUGGGCGUAAGAAGAUUGAAGAGAUUUGACCCUAGUACGAGAGGACCGGGUUGAACAAACCACUGGUGUAGCUGUUGUUCUGCCAAGAGCAUCGCAGCGUAGCUAAGUUUGGAACGGAUAAACGCUGAAAGCAUCUAAGCGUGAAGCCAACUCUAAGAUGAAUCUUCUCUAAGCUCUCUAGAAGACUACUAGUUUGAUAGGCUGGGUGUGUAAUGGAUGAAAGUCCUUUAGCUGACCAGUACUAAUAGAGCGUUUGGCUUAUCUUU